rnacentral:rRNA from 1 species
GAUGAACGCUGGCGGCGUGCCUAAUACAUGCAAGUCGAGCGAACAGAUGAGGAGCUUGCUCCUCUGACGUUAGCGGCGGACGGGUGAGUAACACGUGGACAACCUACCUAUAAGACUGGGAUAACUUCGGGAAACCGGAGCUAAUACCGGAUAAUAUAUUGAACCGCAUGGUUCAAUAGUGAAAGACGGCUUUGCUGUCACUGAUAGAUGGAUCCGCGCCGCAGUAGCUAGUUGGUAAGGUAACGGCUUACCAAGGCAACGAUGCGUAGCCGCCCUGAGAGGGUGAUCGGCCCCACUGGAACUGCGACACGGUCCAGACUCCUACGGGAGGCAGCCGUAGGGAAUCUUCCGCAAUGGGCGAAAGCCUGACGGAGCACCGCCGCGUGAGUGAUGAAGGUCUUCGGAUCGUAAAACUCUGUUAUUAGGGAAGAACAAAUGUGUAAGUAACUAUGCACGUCUUGACGGUACCUAAUCCGAAAGCCACGGCUAACUACGUG